UACGAAGGGGGCUAGCGUUGCUCGGAAUCACUGGGCGUAAAGGGUGCGUAGGCGGGUCUUUAAGUCAGGGGUGAAAUCCUGGAGCUCAACUCCAGAACUGCCUUUGAUACUGAAGAUCUUGAGUUCGGGAGAGGUGAGUGGAACUGCGAGUGUAGAGGUGAAAUUCGUAGAUAUUCGCAAGAACACCAGUGGCGAAGGCGGCUGACUGGUCCGGUUCUGACGCUGAGGCGCGAAAGCUAGGGGAGCGAACAGG
rnacentral:rRNA from 1 species